GGUUAAGCGACUAAGCGUACACGGUGGAUGCCCUGGCAGUCAGAGGCGAUGAAGGACGUGCUAAUCUGCGAUAAGCGCCGGUAAGGUGAUAUGAACCGUUAUAACCGGCGAUUUCCGAAUGGGGAAACCCAGUGUGAUUCGUCACACUAUCAUUAACUGAAUCCAUAGGUUAAUGAGGCGAACCGGGGGAACUGAAACAUCUAAGUACCCCGAGGAAAAGAAAUCAACCGAGAUUCCCCCAGUAGCGGCGAGCGAACGGGGAGGAGCCCAGAGCCUGAAUCAGCAUGUGUGUUAGUGGAAGCGUCUGGAAAGGCGCGCGAUACAGGGUGACAGCCCCGUACACAAAAGCGCAUGUGCUGUGAGCUCGAUGAGUAGGGCGGGACACGUGGUAUCCUGUCUGAAUAUGGGGGGACCAUCCUCCAAGGCUAAAUACUCCUGACUGACCGAUAGUGAACCAGUACCGUGAGGGAAAGGCGAAAAGAACCCCGGCGAGGGGAGUGAAAAAGAACCUGAAACCGUGUACGUACAAGCAGUGGGAGCACAGGUUUACCUGUGUGACUGCGUACCUUUUGUAUAAUGGGUCAGCGACUUAUAUUCUGUAGCAAGGUUAACCGUAUAGGGGAGCCGGAGGGAAACCGAGUCUUAACCGGGCGUUAAGUUGCAGGGUAUAGACCCGAAACCCGGUGAUCUAGCCAUGGGCAGGUUGAAGGUUGGGUAACACUAACUGGAGGACCGAACCGACUAAUGUUGAAAAAUUAGCGGAUGACCUGUGGCUGGGGGUGAAAGGCCAAUCAAACCGGGAGAUAGCUGGUUCUCCCCGAAAGCUAUUUAGGUAGCGCCUCGUGAAUUCAUCUCCGGGGGUAGAGCACUGUUUCGGCUAGGGGGCCAUCCCGGCUUACCAACCCGAUGCAAACUGCGAAUACCGGAGAAUGUUAUCACGGGAGACACACGGCGGGUGCUAACGUCCGUCGUGAAGAGGGAAACAACCCAGACCGCCAGCUAAGGUCCCAAAGUCAUGGUUAAGUGGGAAACGAUGUGGGAAGGCCCAGACAGCCAGGAUGUUGGCUUAGAAGCAGCCAUCAUUUAAAGAAAGCGUAAUAGCUCACUGGUCGAGUCGGCCUGCGCGGAAGAUGUAACGGGGCUAAACCAUGCACCGAAGCUGCGGCAGCGACACUCAGGUGUUGUUGGGUAGGGGAGCGUUCUGUAAGCCUGUGAAGGUGGCCUGUGAGGGUUGCUGGAGGUAUCAGAAGUGCGAAUGCUGACAUAAGUAACGAUAAAGCGGGUGAAAAGCCCGCUCGCCGGAAGACCAAGGGUUCCUGUCCAACGUUAAUCGGGGCAGGGUGAGUCGACCCCUAAGGCGAGGCCGAAAGGCGUAGUCGAUGGGAAACGGGUUAAUAUUCCCGUACU
rnacentral:rRNA from 4 species